GUAUGGUGUUCCUAAUAAUCCUUUAGGUGUGUGUAUGUUGUAAUGUUAAUUUUUCUACACUUAUUACCUGGGAAAACAUUUUCUUUGACUGCCUGAGCCUUUUGCACAGUAUUGCAGGUCUGCUAACAGAAAUGGACAUAGAUUAUUGACUGAUGUCUGUAACUGGAAAAAAAACUGCUGUUAGCCUAUUAUACCCAUGAAGCGAUUUACCCUUUCUGAACAAAAUACUCCCCCUGGCCAGUUUGUCCAUCCGUCCAUCUAUCCAUCCAUCCAUUAUCCAGCAACUUAUUGUGAACAGGGUCUCCGGGGUCCUACGAUCAAUUUGAUCAUAAAAAUGCCCAUUAAAUUAGAGACUUUCUAAAGAUGGGACACAAAAAAAUAUGCUAUUUUUAUUUGAGAUAUACGCUCAUGCUAUUUUAAAGAUAAUCCAAAUUGCAAAAAAGACAAAUCUCUGAGGGAAAUAAAUCUUACAGAUUUAUUUAUUUAUCUUGCAGAAGUGCAGAACACUAAGUGCAGAAGCGCAGUCAUUCUUAUGAAAUAAAUAGUUCAUAAUAAAUCUUUAAUUAAGAGGAAGUUUUCUGGGUCUAUGUUUCCUCCAGCAGCUGCAACAUCAGCUCCUCAUAGUCACAGACAAGGUUUGAUCUCAGAGAUGCCAAAAUAAGAUCAGCGUACGGUAAAAUCAUCGUCAUAAAAUUAGAAAAACACUGAACAUUAAGACUGAGUCAACAUUAUGCAGGACAGAAUGCAUGACAACCGAACUACGGAGCGUAAUAAAGCCAGCUGGCUUGGUCUGGUAUUUCUGACCGUGUUUACAGGUCACCUCUGUGUCCCCCCCCCACUCUUGUUUAGACUGCAUGAUCACAUGAGAAACACAUACAGAUGGGCUGUUAUUCCUCUGGGUCCUAAUCACUACAUCCUUCUUCCCUUCCUUCCUUCCUUCCUUCCUUCCUUCCUUCCUUCCUUCCAUCCUUCCUUCCCGCACGCCUGCCCUUGUCUCAGUCUUGUUCCUCCCCUGCUGGGGCUGCCAUCUGCCUUUGCCAUGUCACAUCCAAUCUCACCUGUGCCCCCCCGACCCGGAUUUACCCAUUAAUAGCCUUAUUGAGAGUCUGCCUGUUUGCUUACGGCUACAGUAAGAGGUACGGUGUUUGGAGACGUCGCGCGCUGCGCCUGCCGCGGUGUUUUUCCUGUUACCCAUCACUCCCCUCUCUCCUCUUGAUUACCUGCACGCACCUGCGUGCUGACAGGCUGUCAUUCACCCCUGACUCCCUCCCCGUUGCUGCCGGCACUUCUCAUCUUUCAUACUGAAAUCGGCCCCGAUUUCACUGCUGGCCGGGGGAGGCCCGCUCUGUCUCCGCUUUUACCUCGACCCCAAGGUGACGUCACCUUAGAUAAAAAGUAUAAAUACAUUUGUGGCAAGAAUUAUGGAAACACUUCCAGUUUUUAGAGAUUGCAGAACUUUGUUCAACUGUUGCUCCAGUUUUAAUUGUCCAGUGUGUGAUAUUUGUAACAUUCUUUGAUUGUUUAUAAACAUUACGGGCAAUAUUCAUGAAGUGAUUUUUAAAGCCUAAUUCCAGAAAUGCUAGGCCUUUCCACAAUUUUGGCAAAUAGUGUAUAAGGAGAGAUAGAUUCCCAUGAACUCUGCUCUGCUUACCAGUUACCCCCCCCCUAGGAGAGCGUGGGGCUGGGUGUGGCCGUCGAGGACCCAGCCUGUGUGCUUCUCCGUCUAUGGCUGUUAAUUGCCUUCUGAGAUCAUUGUAAGGAUCUAGCCCAGGUGUGAAGAGCCAGCCAGUCCAGAAACCUGCAGAGCCCACGCUUCUCUGUGCAAAUGGCUGCAUAGUGAGUAAACAGGCCACCCCCCCUUUCCAAAUUCACACCUAGGGCCUCCCGACACCAGUUGCAGCAGUCGCAGAUGAUGAAAUUUAAGUAGCCUCCAAACAUCAUACCCAUCAUGCACUGCAGUAGUUAGCAAAUUCCAAAAACAUGCUUUUUUAAAUUAAAUACAUGCCUCGACAACAUAGUUUGACUACAAUUACAAACUAUUACAUUUCAAAAUUGUUUUAAGUAUUGUGCCAUUUUUUUUGUGUUGUCUCCCACCAUAACGAGAUUCUAUGCAUACAAAUGUGAGAUAUAAAAGUAGCAUAUCACAAAUGUUUAUAGAAUGUAUGAUAUCAGCACCUUAAUCCUCACAAAUGUUUCUUGGAUAUGUGACAUUUGCAGUCAGAGGAAAGAUGUCUUGAUGAGGGGGCUCUGAAACAGCUAUCCUGCCUACUAGUCUUCUUCUGGUGUCAUGUAAGGCCUCAGAUACUAUGGGUUGGUUCUCUUUGAACUGCUGUUGUCAUCUUACUUCUAUUUUUAACAAAGAUGCCAAAUAACUGACAUGGAUAUCAAUGCAUAAAAGAACAUGUGGGCGUUUCUACAAUGGUACCAAUGGCACAUUUUUCUGUUUAUAGAUCAGUGAGGUAAUACUGCACACUAACAGGGGACACAAAAAUCCCCUCCCCUCCAUGCAUUUUUCUGUUUAUAGAUCAGUGAGGUAAUACUGCACACUAACAGGGGACACAAAAAUCCCCUCCAUGCAUUUUUCUUCCUAAUACUCGAUAUUCAUCAUUUCCCCCUCUCACUUCUCCUGGACCUGAGGCUCAUCGCACCACAUCCCGCAGGUAAGGCAGCCCUUGUCGGUCGCCCAGAACACCACUGGCAAUCAUGGCGAAGUCCGAAGCCGAUAUGUCCUGGAAAAUUUAGGAACCAAGACAUGGUGAUAAGAAAUGGCCUCGAUUCAGCUGACAUGUCAAUGGCAGGUUGACAUCAACAGAAUUAAUUCAUUAAUUGAUCAUUUUCCAGAAUGUUUUCUUGACCGUAGAGCCGGGUGUUUAUAAAAAUUUCUACAUAUCAUUCUUCAAUAUACCCAAUGAACAGAAUGAGCCAUUUUGUAAAAUCUUUUAAAACACAGUACACUACUGCCUCCGAUGACUAUACACCAUCGGUUUAUUGCUGACACAAUAUGAUUAAAACAAUAAUUGGGUUCAAACUCAGAAGCCUGGCACAUUCAUUUUUUAUUAAUAAUCCACAGACACUUCAACACUAGAUCUUCAUCAGCGUGUGUCUGAUUUCGGACCUAAUUAUUGUCAAUCUGGCAUGUAAAAAUGAGACUUUAAAGAGAAGGACCCCUAUUUUGUUGGUAUUUUCUGCCAUACUUCACACAGCGACAUCAUCCAUUCAUUUUUCUGUUCUUCGCAGCGGCAUUAAUAUUUUUGUGGUCCCGCUCCAGCAGACGGGUAUGGACAUGAAAAAUGAGCUUGACAGGAGGGCCAGAACCACGGCGCUAAUCCUCCCGAGCGCCAAGGGGACGACGUUACCGGAGGCUGAAGGCUUUUUCGCGCUGCCAAAGCGUUACUUAAAAGUUCCGAACGUGAAACCACCAGUGUCAAGGAGAAAUGCGCCAAAUGCCAGAGAGGCUGUCUGAGCAGAAUCUGAAAUGCUGUGCAUUUUCACAUUACAUCGUCCCAAAGCCCUUUACAUGAUCCCCGCCCAAAGCCCCCAGGGAGGAAGCCAGAGGCGACAGCGGCAAGAAAAUCUCCCUAUAAAGAAGAAACCUUGCAGAACCUGCAGCCUGACACAGACAUUACUACUGAAUUUGUCCACCUGUUUCCAGGUUCUGACAAAUUCUCUAUACAUUUUUAGUUUAGCAAAUAUUUUUAGCCAAAAGUGGCACAGAUUUGAGGAAGUGAGGUCAGCCAAUCCCUGGAGUCAUUGGGGUUAAGGGCUCUGCUCAGGGACCCAUCAGCAAAAUCACUCUGCCGACUCUGGGAUUUGAGCUGGUGACCUUCAUGAUUACAGGCACAGCCUUGAGUUGCAGAGCCACAUACUGCCCACAGCAGCAUAUUCCAGUGUUAUCAAAUUUACAAAGGAACUUCACUGACUUCGCUACUAUGGCUUGGAAUAAAACAUUUAGGUGUGGUUAAGAAAGGACUGUAAAGGGUAAAAUGGAAGAGACAGAAAAAGACGACGUGGCUGAGGAUCACUGUACAAGAAACCGAGCUGAAACAACCAACAUCUGAGGCAGUAUGUGAACUGGGGACCUCUGUGGUCAGAGUCGUUUGCUGGAGUCUGCAAAACUCACCCUGGGGGGAUGGAGAGCAGAAGAUACCUGUGCAGCAGACAAUACAUCACAGGCAGAGAGCUGUCACAGAGCCAACUGGGUAUAAGUGUAGCUAGAUUGAGCUUCCAGUGAGAGACCAAUAACCAAUGGAAGUUAGCUUGAGCUUCCAGUGAGAGACCAAUAACCAAUGGAAGUUAGCAUCGGGGCUCUACAGUGCAUUAUGAAACAUAUCGAGAAGCAUACAGGAGAGCUACUGAACUCAAAAACACCAUGAGGACCAGGUUCCUAUGAGACAACAGCAUCUCGUGUUGACUAGAGAGCAUGUCCAAGAGAUACCCAGUGAAGACGGAGCUGGUUAGUGGUUGGAGCAGCUAAUUGAGGCUUUCUGGAAAACAUGGGUCUUUAGCAAGGGCAUAAAUUUGGGUGUGGAUGAUAGGGACACGACCCUACCAGUAUAGUGGGAGUACCACGUGUGUUUAGGACGAUGCCGGUUUCUGGUCCCACCCAAUGUUGAAAUCAAACCUACGCCAUUGGUCUUGAGAUGCUUCUUGGAUGACUACAGUAAUUAGAUGUAGAUAGGGUAGCUUGUUCCAACAUUGUACAACCACACACGACAAACACAUAGAGUUACAUGUAUUGUACAUGUAAUAUUUGGAGGAUCCCCAGGCAGAAUUGGCUUGCUGACCAAAGAAGGCAAGACCAGAUGCAGGCAGGUGCCCUUCCGUUAACAUCCCUGAAAGCCAGCACCAAGGAUUUUAACUUGAUGCAAGCACCUAUAGCGAACCAAUGAAGAGAGACAAGGAGGGGUGCAACAUGAGAGCAUUUUGGCUGACUGAAUACCGGAUCUGCUGUUGCAUUUUUAAUAAUGUACGGCAAAUUUAAUAAAGCACACGUUAGUAGCCCUCAGUAAAGAGUUGCAGUACUCUAAAUGACAAGUGCCUAGAUGAAGCUGAGAUACAUACUCUGAUGAACAAGGCAUGGUUUUUCUGAUGUUAUACAGAGUGAAUCUACAAGACCAGGAGAUAUGCAAUAUUGUCAGCAAAGAAUAGCUGGCCAUCUAUUAUUACCCCUGGGUUUCUGGCAGACCCUGAUGAAGACCAUGUUGAUGAUGUAAGCUGUACAGUGACGUUAACAGUAGGGAUGGCAGAGAAGACCAGAAGCUCGGCCUUUGAGAUGUUCAGCUGGAAGAGAUAAUCCAGGCUGCAGUGUGGACCAGGCAUGCAGAGAUCCCAGCAGGGGCAUGUUGUCCUUAGGAGAGAAGGUCAUAUAGAUUUGAAUGUUGUCAGAAUAGUAGUAAUAGGUGAAGUCAUGUGACUGGAUGAUCUUACCUAGAGAGGAGCAGAACAAGGACUAAACCUUGAGGCAUCCAAGCUGAUAUCCGCUGUGACCUUUGGGACACAGAAGUUCUCCAGACGUUAUAUAUGCCUCAGGCCGCUAUGGCUGGAAUUUCACAUCUGCCAAAAGAAAAGAGUUGCGUAAAAAAGAGCCAAUUAAUAACAUAACAACGGAAGAUGCAUCACAAAAAGAAGCCAUUCUGACCAUUCCAAUAUUUAACUAAUGAUAACAUUUUAUUUUGCUUUGAAAAAUCACAUUAUGAUUAUAAUAAAUAUACUAAAUUAAAGGUGGGAACACAAAAGAUUGAUCUUUCCUUCUGUGUUCUUCACAGCUUCUUCACAACAGGCUAUGAGACGCAGGGAUUAGAUAUUUUUUUAAGCAUAGAAGAAAAUGGGUGGGAAUGCCUUAUUUUGUGCCCCAGUUCAGUGCUUUCAUGUUGGCUGCUACAGGUUAGAAACCAAAGAUCCACUUACCUCAAUGUCCGCAUAAAUUUACUGUUUUUAGCUUCGAUUUCCAUUGCAACUUUUUUUGAAGGGAACAGGAGGUUAUUUUCACAUUCAAAUAAAAGAAGUACAUUCAAUUUAAAGACAGUGCUUAGUGAGAGUUGACACAUUUAAAGAAAGUAGUCGCUUCCACUAGGGCGGUGCUUUAAAAAAAAAAAAAAGCGUGUGGAGUUUUACAAAAACAUAGGCCAGGGACUAAAUUACUGCUGCUGAUUAUUAAUUGAAUUAUAAUGGAAGGCAAGGCUGGGGUGACAUGGUAGCUCAGUCUCUCCGCUCUGCAUGUGGCACUCGUACGUGUGUCAUGUGGGUUUGAAUCCCGCCUCUGCUCUGCAUGUGGCGUUCGUACGU